CUUUGUCCCCUUUUUUCAAUUCUCGGAACUUGCGCCGGUAUGCCUCUGGGGUAAUGGCAUACCUUUCUAAUAGCGCCUGCUUUACCUUGUCAUAAUUCUUGCUGUCCUCUCUGGGUACAGCCCGGUAGGUGUCUGCUGCACGCCCAGACAGUUUGCCUGCCAACAAAGGUACCCACAUAGCUUGCUCUACAUCAUGCAAGUCACACAAUCUUUCAAAAUCUUGCAAGAAUCCAUCUAUUUCGUCUUUAUCCUCGCAAAAAGUUUUAAAUG